rnacentral:tRNA from 1 species
UGGCGCAGUAGGUGGCGCAUCAGUCUCGCAAGCUGAAGGUCCCGAGUGUGACCCUCGG